rnacentral:misc_RNA from 1 species
AAGUCGUAACAAGGUUUCCGUAGGUGAACCUGCGGAAGGAUCAUUAACACGUAUCCACGUUAAAAUCACCGCGAAUUUCUUAGGGUAGGCUUAUUUGAGAUGCCUUAUUCUCGACUUAGCGGUUGAGGUAGGGAUAUUGAAUAGGCUCCUAAGCUUUGACCCUUUCAGGAACAAAUCUUCGGAGGCGUUCCUGAUUGGGGAAUUGAAACCCCCUUUUUUCUAAACUAAAGGCCGUCUCUUUGCAGACCGCUUUUAACCGAUUGCUGUACAACUCUUAGCAACGGAUAUCUUGGUUCUG